AAACCAUGAUGAGGGUAUUGCAUGGUGUAACCCUUAAGCCUCUCCCAUGCUUCAACAAAGAAUCUUCUACUGAAAGCAAGAGAUCUCAUUGUGAUU
rfam:Brassica oleracea var. oleracea cultivar TO1000 chromosome C6, whole genome shotgun sequence